UUGAUAGUUUAGUGUGCUUUUACGUCUCACCCAUUGCAGUCUAAAAAAUAUAUAUUCUUAAAAUGGGAAAACCAAAUAGAAAAUCCCAGCUAUAUUAUUCUUCAGACGAGGACGAUUAUAAUGUCCUGGAAAAACGCUGCAACUGCAGUAACAUUGAAAUUAUUGAAAAUAAGCUAAAUGAAAAAGAAGAAGAGUUGGCUUUGUUAAAAGAAAAGUUGGAAAUGUAUGACGAUAAAAUUAAGGAUAAAAAUGAUGUAAUAGCUGCUCUAAAAGCUUCGAACAAUAUUUAUAAAUUGGAGUACAAGGAAAAGAUUGAUUCACAGGCGGAAAAAAUAAAAGACCUUAAAGUGGAGCUGUUCAAAAUAAGGGAUAAAAGUAGUAAUGAGAUUAAUGAGGAAGUGCAUAUUAAACUUGAAGCUUCCUAUAAAGCUAAAUUAAAAGAGAAAGACGAUCAAAUUAUGUUUUUAGAAAUGGACUUAAGUUUGGCCAAUUUAAAGAUUAAGGAAAAGGACGAUUUGUUAAAAAAAUCAGGCAAAAACUAUUCAAAAUCUUAACACUGCACUGCACAUCAGUACAAAUUUUUUCAAAAUUUUUAAUCUUUAUUAACUUAAUUAUUAAAGGGAGAAAAUGUUAACUGUAUUUUUAUGAUAAAUGUUCAAGGGAUUUAUUGUAUAGUGUUUUAUUUCCCAAAAUUUCCUAUUUUACCAAAUUUUAUAAAAUAUGUAUUUAUAGUUAAAACAUAGAAUUUAUAAAUAUAGUCCUUUUUAUAAAAAUAUCCUUCGUACGCUGGCGCCACCUGUUGGGGAAAUAUCAAGUCCUUGUUGCUGCCAAUUCACUGAAAUAAUAUGUUCUUCAACCACAAUUAAACUCCUCUUAUGAGGAAAUUUUUAUAUGCGCAGGACAUUUAUAGCUUGCUUUCAAAAAAAAACAUAGAAAAUGUUGAAGGAUAUUUGGAAGGACUUUCAUGCCACAAUUGCUAUAAAGAAUGCUAAUAAACGGCAAGUAAAAUUAAAAAAUGUUGUCAUAUUUUGCAAUGAAAUAGCUAACAUACAUAUAUAACGAUUUAGGAAAAGCAAUUAUUUUUUUUAUAUCUUUUGCAACUCUUUUUUACGCAUUUUUUCAUAUGUUAUUGUGGCAGAUAUUUUUGGUUUAUAUUUUAUUUUGUUAAAUGGAAAUAGUUUGAAUAUCUAGAUAAUAUUGUUUCAGAAAAUUUUAAAAGGCAUUGUUUCACUUCAUGAAUAAAAAUCUUCUUUCAAACUUAA